GCGAGCAGAGACUGAAGAGAGGUAACUAACUAAGUAGUAGACAUAGAAUAGUUUGAAUGGUUAAAUAUGUUACAAGCUAGUUGGGGAAUGAGACAAAACUUAUGGGCUAGUCAUUCAAUGAUAACUAAUUAGUCUCAGUGUCAUUAUUGAUGAGAAUUAAGGGGCCAGAAGGAAAAAUUAAUUAUUAUUUUUUACACUGAGGACUUAAUCUCCUUCCCACAAACACUCAAGGUUGACCUCUGGCCCCCAUACACAGGCACUUGGAUAUGACCUGCAAGUAUACAGCAUAUGUGCCCACAUGAACACAUACAUUAAAAACCACAGCUCUUUACUGGAAAAGAGCACAGGAUACAUUGUUAUUUGAAGAAGCAGGUAACAAGUUAGCAGGUAUGCAAAGGGCAUGCCUAAAAUAUUAGGGGUGCUCUCUAGUUGGUGCCAUUCUAAGUAAAUUUCCCCCUUCUCUUUCUUCCCUAUAGAAUUGGCUGAAGCAAGUCUCCAUAUUUUGAAGCUCAGGCCCCUUGUGUUGCAACAGGAGUGUCGUUGGUCAUAUCGGGCAUCCUCCUCCAGAGAACUGAAGAACACCCCUCCGGAGUCAGGAUGACCUGAGGGCUACACAAGGCUCAUUUUUCAUUCCCUGUGCCAUCUGGCUCCGGCAGCCACAAGACCUUUCUGGGCCUGAAUAACUUCAUCUGUGCAAUGAAGGUAAAAACAGUGUCUACCUAAGAGGACAUUGUGAGAAUCAGCAAUAAUAUCCAUGAAAUGCUCAGCACCUGCCACCCACAAGGUGCUCAGCCUGCGAGAGGGAAGCUUCCACGGGAGGCAAAGGGCAGAGGCCUCACGAAACACUUUUUCCUAGCACAUUCUUUCUCUGUGAUUUUGGUGGUCCUUUGUGCCUUCAAACAAUGUUCAGUCCUCUCAGACAGAAGACUCUGUGUUCUUCAUUCACUCUGUGUAAGUCAUGGGUGGCCAUUUAAUACAUCUUGGUCAUCAGCAUGGACAAAGAUAACGAUGACCAAUGCACUGCUGGUCAGGUUCUGUUGUGUCUUCCAGAACCUGAUAUUAGGGAACCUGCCUAGCCUGUGGUAACCCUUGAGAGGGGUGUAGUAUAAGGGAUGAGCUAGUCUGCUUUUUAGGCCACAAAAAUAUUUGGUUGAAACAAGGCUGCUGACACUUUAACCAGUCCCGGGAGGACACGAAGCCACUUCAUAGUACUGAAAUCUUGGGAAAGGCAUUUACCUGUUCAGUCAGCCAUCCCUUCCCCUAUAGAAUGCAGGUGUAAUCGUCUCAACCCAUGGGAUUGGAAAAGGAAGUGGCUGCGUGUUUGUAGUGUCUCGUGUUGUGCCUGAUAACUGGUAGGGACAUGCAAAGUGACAGAAUCUUCUCAUUACGCCAUUUCAGCUUCUUUCCUCAUAGCUGAAUGAAACCAGCUACCAGUGCUGAGGGUAUCUGCUGGUGCCAGCCCCUUGCCUUUGUGCACCUGCAUAUUUGUGUGCAUAUGUAUAGAUGUACCUGCAGGUGGGUGGGUCAGAGGACCAACCUGGGGCAACAUUCCUCAGGUAACUUCGGCCUUUUUUUCUUUUGUGUCUUUUCUGUUUUCUUGGGUCUCUGGCUGGCCUGGAACUUAACAAGUUAGAGUUAAGCUGUGCCUCAAAGAACUAUCUCCCAAGUGCUGGGAUGGCAGGCUUCAUGCCCCACUGGCUGGUUGGUAUGUUUGUUGGUUGGUUGGUUGGUUGGUUGGUUGGUUGGUUGGUUGGUUGGUUUUUCACUGUGCUUUGAAAUCUAAACUCGGGUUCUCAUGCUUAUAAGACAAUCUCUUGACCAACUGAGCCAUCUCCCCAGCCCACCUUUGGGUCUUGACUCUUGCAUUUACUUCUACUACAGCCACAGAAACUAGAGAUUUACACAAAUAAGAGACACAAGUGUCGGGAUGGGUAAGAGUCCCCAUGCACACACUACUAAUCUCCUUCUGUCCUUUGCAGAAGUGAAACAUGGUCACAUCCACAUGGCAGUAGGCUCUGUCUCCACCACCAUGGCCAAGCGCCACCUCUGAGGAGCUAGGAGCACCCAAAGGACCCAGGACCACAGACUAUGACCAUGUCUGUGCUGGAGUGAGACCACUAGAAGAUAAUAACCACGUUCUUCUCAUGUAAAACCAGGGUUCUGCUCGAGCAACCCUUCUAGCAGCCCUACUUAGGAGGCAGAAGCAAGAUGCUCUUAAGUUUGAAGUAGGCCCUGGAUACAAGUUAAACCUUUUCUGAAAAUUAAUAAACAAAUAUUAAAGAAGCAUUUUUCAACAAAGAAUCACUAUAGUAGAACCAGUGUUUUACCCUCUUUGUCUCAAAAAUGUAAAAGGUCUCUCAUGCAGGAGAGGGAGAAGUUUCUGUGGCUCGGUUGCCCUGGUACCCUCUGUACUUCCCUGCUUAGAAGAAGCACAUGGCCACAUGGCCGAGGAAAGUGUUGUCUGUGUUUCCUGAGUAAGCAGGGCAGCUCAUGAUUCAGACAGAAAUUAAGCAGCCUACUGAGGGAGUUUGGCCAAAGAGCCAAAUACAUUUGAGAAUCAAGAGCAUCAAGUGGCUCUCUUCUGCAGGGCUCAGCAGGAUGUACUAUAGCACCGUCCCAAUUUGAAAAUGGAGAGAAAGGACAGUGAAUUCCCAGGCAGUAGCAAAAGCACCCUAUUGCAUGGAUUUCCUCAAGGCUGAUGGUGAACACAAGUCUCUUAAAGACCGUCUUCACCACACCCGGAGUAAAGUCCUGCCCAUGAGUAGUGAGCGAUGAACAUCUAUAUUUUCACAUCAGUGAGGGUAUACGUGCCGCUGCUCUGUCCAGCCUUACAGUGGAUGGACAGUCAAGCAGCAGCAACACUCCCUUGCUGAACCUUUCUAGAAGGUUCAGUCCUUCUCAACUUCAGGACCAAGACAGCGAUGGGCCAGAGAAAGACAAGGAAUGUCUGAGCAGGGGCAGCAGUGGCUGUGAAGUAAAGGUGAGUGAGCAGGGAGCUCACAAUCACGUGUCCCCAGUCACUUCAGUCUCCCCACAGCCAGCACACACAGCUGCUUCUCCAUCUCCGCCUAGCAGCACUGCACCAUGCAUGAAUGGCCUGCUUUUCCUGCUCCUUCCACCCAGCCUCAUCUUCAUAAGCAGCACCUCCAUUAUGAUGCUUUCUCAAGGGAAAAAAAAAAAAGCUAAAGCAGAAUACAGUCUGUAAACACAGCCCUCUGAGGACAUGAGCAAUAUGGCUGUUGCUACCCUGCCUAUUCCUAACCAAGGUAGGAGACCACUCCCAAACCGCUUUCCUCCUAGUUGGGGUCCUCUUCCUUCUCCUUGCCAAAAAAUUAGAAUGUUACACAUAUAACCAGAAGCAGAGGCACAUGCUUGUGGUCCUAGCAUUCAAGAGGCUGAGGCAGGAAGACUGCUGUAAAUUCAAGGCCCAGCCUUAAGUUGCACGGCGAGCUCCAGGCCAGAAUGGGUUGUGGGAAGAUAGCCUGCCUCUUUAAAUGACAAAAAGGAAAAAAAAAAGAGAAUUAAAUCCUUAUAUAAGCAGAUAGCCUGCCUUCCAUGAAGAUAUCUAUGAAUUAUAGCAGUCGCUCUGCAGUACACACAGACCACUGGAAACUAGCUUCACAAAUUCCUCAGUGGCCAAAACAUGGUCCACAGAUAGGAGUAUUUGGAAGGAAAAGAACCUCAAGGUCUUUAAAUUCAGUAUCUGUUUUGUAUUCAACAUCUAUCUGUUGCAAGGGCUCUUUCUAAAAUGACUUUCACAAAGCAGGGCCUUCCCUUCACUCAGUCUCACUCCAAUUCAUAGCUCUCAGGUUUUAAAAUUCCCACCAGAGCUGGGUAUGAUGGCUCAGACUUCCAUAGCUCAGGGGCUAAAGCACAAAGAAUUCCUUGCAUUUGAAGUUAGCCUGGGCUACAUAGUAAAUUCCAAGCCAGCCUGGGCUACAAUGUAGGGUUGGUUUUGUUUUGAGGUGGUUGUUGUUGUCUGUUGCUGUUGUUGUCUCAAAAUUU
rnacentral:lncRNA from 1 species